GGUGAGAAUCGGCCACGCCUCCGACUCCGGGACUAACGCGGCGUUCUGUCCUGCACUGCAAAAGUCUUCCAGAGGGCUGAGCUGUUGUUGACCACCAGGAACUGAAACGAGGGAAAGUAUAACCAUGGAUAAGAGAGGAUUACUGCAUAUCUAUACUGUGGGAUUCUACUCAGCAGUAAAAAGAAAUGAGCUAUUGACAUACAUAACAAUGUGGAUGGACCUCUGAGGCUCUACGUUGAAUGAAAAAAAAAAGGUCCAUACCCAGGCUUUGAAGUCCGAGGCAUCAAAUGACACAACUCUGUAUGGCUCCUCAAUUGCAGCCACAGGAAAGAUUCUGGACUGGGACCAUCUAGCUGAGUGACUCCUCCAUUCUUACCUCCAUGAAGAUGUGAUGUCUCCCUCCUCCUCAUGGCUUGUGACUUUGGCCUGCUGCCUGGUGCCACUCUUCCUGGAUUGCACUCCCCAGUGUUGGGCACUCAAAAGGAAAUCAGAUGGAGCCUCGAGAAGGCCACAGUAAUCAGUUCAAUGUGAAAUUAUUACAAUAGAGGUACAGUGCUCUGGAGUGCAGCUUAUCAAGUAAGUGACAUCAGUGCUGGGAUUGAUAAAUCAGGAGGAAUUUCUCAGGGAGGAGAACUUGAGGCAGAGAAAGUGCUGUUCCUGAAAAGACUGUGUGCACACAAUUUUAGAUUAUUCCUGUUGGUCAAAUAACUAGUAAUGCAUAUUUCAUGUUCAGCUCAGUAGGGGCCCAAGAAAGUUCAUGGUCUUUCCUUAAGGGAGAUGAGAAUCUAGCUGGAGACACAAAACCACAACUGACUGCCUAGCAAGCCUACAAGGCAGCCUAUUAUUGCCAAAGAGAUUAGGCAGAAUCAGGGUGCCACAAGAGGGGUGAAUGGCCCAAGUAACCCAAGAAUGGAGCAGUAAAAAAAAAACUUCACAAGAAAGGCAGCUAAAUGGAGCCUCAGAGGACAGAACAGAGCAGAAGCAAACCCUGAAGUCACAUGCUUUCCCAAGGGUGGAAUUGAGGGCAUCUCACAACUUAUGGAGGAGCCUCACACACAGGAAGACUACUACAUCAUUACAGUAAUGGUGCCAAGGAUGUGCUCAUGGAGGUCAGUGAAUUAUCCAGUUAUUGAAAUCAAUGACUUUCCUUCACUCCCUGUUCUCUCUGUUCCAGGGAGGGAGCAAGCAGAUAAGUUGUACAGCAAGAAGAUGGAGUAGUCACCAGGUUGUUUUGUCAACUGUAAUUGGAUCCCGUACUCUACCCACAAUAAUGGUGUUCCUGGGAAGAAGUCAUGAGCUUUGGGCAUAUGUAACCCUCUUAUGCAUUACUAGUAGUGAGUUGAACAAAAUCCUUCCAGAUUUGCUAAGCUGAGGUCCCAGGCCUCACAGGUUUGUCAAUGACACCAAGGCAAGUCUUGAUUAAGGUUGAUAAUGGUAACUUACAGUUAAUACUGAUGAAAUUAUUACUUUUCAAGCUUUGAUUACAUUAUUUUUUGAGUAGGCCACACUUUAAGAAGAUAUAAAAUAUUGUUCAGUGAAAACUCUUUUCUCCAUCUGUUUCCCUAAACAUGUGUUUCCUUUUCUUGGAGGCAACCAAUACUACAAUUUCUUGAGUCUCUUCCAGAAAUAGUGUAUGCACAGACAAGCACUCACAUAUGCAAUCUUAAAGAAAAUUUGAUUAGUGUCAGAUUUUUAUAUCAAGGAUAACAUUAACAAUGAAUUUUCUUCUCUUCAGGGAGAAAUAGUUAUUAGUUUUUCAAAUUGCAAAAUAAUGCAUAUUCAUUACAGAAAACCUAGAAAAUACAAAAAACAGAAGACAAAAUGAAUAUUCCCUUUAUCUCAGCAUUUGGAGAUGAUUUUUAUUAUUAUUAUUAUUAUUUGGUAUGAGGAAUUGAACUCAGGACCUGUGCUUGCCAGACAGGUGUAGUGCCACUGAGCUAAAUCCCUGGCCCUUUGGAGAUAACUUUUAGUUAUCUAUAAUUAUUUAUAUUGCCUUCUAGUUUUUUCACAUGACAUGUACAAUAUACUUCAUUGACAUUUUUUCUUUUCCCUCACUAUAUUGUUUCUACCUUUGCAAGUCAUUAAAUGUGUUUUCUAGACAUCAUGGCCUGUUCCUGUAUAGCAUAAUUUAUUUAACCAUGAUCUCUUGUUUGAAAUUCAGGUUGACUACAGUUUUGGACCAUUAUAAGCUUUCAUUUGAUGUAUAUUUAGCUUUUAUUUAUUGAUGGCUUUAUAAAUUAAGUGCAAAUUGUCUAGGGAGAAGGCUGUCUUUGUCUUGAUGACAUAUAUCCCUCGAGUACAGUGCCUAGCUAAAUGGAUUUAAUGGUUUUAAGACCAUAUCUGCAAUAAAAAUGAAAGGUUUAAGUAAAAUUAACCAGAAGGUUUUGAGUUUCUGGUGUAAGUUGACUUUUGGAAGAUAGGAUAGUAUUCUUUCACUUAGAGCUACAAAUUCUGUUUGUUCUCUUUUAUAGAAGGAAGAAUUGUGAGUUGGGAUCUUAAAUAGAAGAACAAAGUUAAAAAAUGGGCCUCAAUUUUUAUAAACCUAACCCUCUGCAAUUCCCCUUGUUUUGAGACAAAGGAGAACAUUUUACACCACUGGAAUAAACAAACUGUAGGGAUACCUACACCAGCUGAAAAACAACAGAUAAAACACUCUCUGCACAAGUAAUUGUAAGACCACACCUUUAACACAUUACCAAUAGCUGCUUUCUCAAAACAUUUCCUUGUUCCUUGGGGGAAGUCACUUUUAAAUGAUAGUUAUAGUGCUGGUGAGGUAGCUCAGUGGUAGAGAACUCAAGGCCUUUGGUUCAGUCCCCAGGACCAUCAAAUAAAAAAGGUGAUAGUCCAUAGACAAUUGGGCUCUUGUUUUUUGUUAUUGUAAACUAGGCAACACAAUUUUUGGUACUUGUUCAGUCUGUAAAGAAAUCCUUCCCAUCCCUAACUGUGAGUCUCCACAGUGGAAAGAAAGAAAGGUGCCUCCAGGACAAAGAACAGAUAAAUGAGAAGGAGGACAGAGGACAUUCCAUUCCUAACUCAGCCAAAGGUUGACAUUUCACAAAGAAUAUGUGGACAUCCAUGUUGUGUUGACAAAGCCCCAUGCCUGGGUACCGAGGUGUCCACAAGGAUGAGGGGACACGGAGCGCCCAGUUGUUGUAGCCACAGUAGCAGGGACGAUUGAACACUUGGGCACCUGAUCUUGUUCUUCCUUUCAAAGGAACUUGCACGGUCAUUCAGGCUGGGUUAGAGUUGUGCAGGUGGAAAGAAAUCUGCUGCACACACCUUGGACUUGGAAUACAUUUUCAGAGAGAAGAGAAAUAGUCCCAGGUCCCCUCAUCACUGGAAAACAGACUUUUGACUAACAUGGCAGAAGGAAGAUCUUUCUUGGGUUUGGCCUUGCCUGAAGGUAUAAAAAACACUUCUACUUGUUAAUUUUUUCAUGAUUAUUUUUUAGACACUAAUGGAGAAAGUUCUACUAUUCUCAAAAUGAUAUUUUUACGUUUAAAGCGACUCACAUUUUCCCUCCAAUGCAUCUAACCUCAAUGGACCCAACAUCAGAAAGAAAUUAUAGUUUUGCUUUUGGCAGAAUCAGAUAUAAUCAACAAAAGUUCAUAAAGUCAAGUAAACUUUGAAACAUAUGCCACUGUUCUUUUUAAAAAAAACUUUUGUUUUUAAUUAAUUGUAGACUCACAGGAAGUCAUAAAAAUAAUAUAGAGAGUUCCCUAUAGCUUUUCCUCAGCUUCCAAGCUAACACCUUAUCUAACUGCAGUAUACCAUCAAAACCAUGGAAUUGGCACCAACAUUGCUGCUGUUGCCACAAUUCUAUUUGGACAGCUGAAAGUAUAGAAACUGAAAAUUGAAAACCCUAAAGCCUAAGGAAAAAAAAAGACAUUUCAUCUCCUUCUAAGAUCGACCACUAUCAGGUUCAAGUUCAUGUUGGAUGCUCAUUUUUCAGGUUGCUACACUUGGAAAAGAUAAUCAGUUCUUGUUUUGUUUUUUAAACAUUGAACCUUUAAUUACCCUGAUUUCUCUGUGAAAGAAAAUCUAUUAUAGCUGAAACUCUCUGAUUCAAAGAUUGGAGCUAAUUGUUAACUGGUUCAUUGAAAAUAUAGGAAUGAUUGAGAAAAUAAGAUAGAUUUUAUAUACUGUAUCUAACUUGGCUCGUGUAUAUGUUCAUUCUCUGAUCUUUUGUACAGGGUUGCAGGAAAAAAUUUAGUACUUCGAUGAAAAACUAUGCAGCAUCAACUGUGUACCUUAUCAGAUAGAUUCUAUUGGGGUAAUUUUACAAAUCUGUGCAUUUUAGGUAACUGAUAGACAUGCAAAUUAUUCUGCCUACUUGAGACUGGUUUUCCUCUCCACUGUGGAAAAGCCCAUCGGUAUCUAAUCAAUUUAACAUUGUUCCUUAAAAAUUCAUUCUUCUUGGACUUCUCCUUUGAAGGGUUAUAAUAUUUGCCUGGCUCCUUCAUUUGAUGUAUUUAAUAAAAUUCUUUACAUGUGUUCACUUUUAUAUUUGAAUGAAAGUCAUGAUUUUACCUUUUUAUAAAGCUUAUCUUUCAUCAGGGUUUUUUUCUUUGAACAGUUAUUUACUGGUCAGUUUUUCCUCUUUCAGAAAUUAC
rnacentral:lncRNA from 1 species